AGUCUGAGUGUGAGCUUUGCGGCGUGAGGCGCGGACGCAGUGGGUGGGCCUUUCGGUAGCCGGUUUGUGUACGUGCUUCUAAAGGGAUGAAAGCUGAUUUGGGCCCACUGUUAACAUUCGAGAAUUAGUUACCCCUGAAGCCACCUGAGCAGCUGGUCUCCAGAUUGAGUCUGGCUAUUAAGCGUCUGGACUUUUAAGUUUCUCAGAGGUUCGGCUGCUACUAGACCACGUACUUUAAAUGAGUUCUCACAGGGGUGGAAAUGCCUAAAAGCAAAACGAAACACUAACCACUAGAUAUGAAACCACGAGAACUUUCCUUUUUAAAAAAAAAAAUAGUGCCAAAGUACUGGUGACUCCACGUGGCCAGCGUACAGUGACUAAUCGUACUGAAAUGUAUGCCCUUGACCCACCGACUCACGAAGCCUCCCUCCGUGAUAGAGCAGGCAGAAAAUGUCUGUGUCUUGGGGUGCAAUUCAAUAGGCGUUUGACCUGCUCCGCCCAAGCAAAUCCUGCCUUUUUAAUCAACAUUUCAAGCAGAACAGAGAAUGCUCUGUUUAGAAGGCAGAACUCACAGUACCUAAUAUUCUUGUCCCUAGGAAUUUUGAGAGAAAUGGAAUCUAGUCUGGACCAUAAGGGAAUUUAUCCUGAAAAGGCAGAAAGAACAGAAUGUCAAAGUUCUAUGCGGGUGAAACCGGAUUUGAGGAAUAUCAAAGGCAUCCUACCAGAGGAAAAGAUGCCACCUGCCAGGACCGGAAGGAAGGGAUUCGAGAAAGCACAGGACGUUAUUACUCAGAAAAUGGAAGAUUUUGAAUAGGGUUGUGAAUGGGUGUAGAGAAUAUCCGUUAACCUUGAGAUUUUUUUUCACUUCAACUGCAAUCUCCUUUUAACAGUUGCUUCGCAGUUCCCUGCACAGCUGCCCGGUAUUGGGCCCUUAAAGAGAAGUUCACAGGAAAUCAGUGUUCUUGUUAUAUUUUAUAAAAUUAUGAUGCCAUCAACAUUUGUAAUUCAGUUAAUGUUCAGGUGACAGUUAUCCUAACAUCAUACAUGGCCUUCAAUGGAUUGUAUGAUGCUUGCCCACAUUGGUGAGGAUGAUCUUCUUUCCUCGGUCUACUGAUUCAAAUGCUAAUCUCUUGUCAACGUGUGGAAAAGGAAAUACAGAUAUAAAAUUAUAAAAGGAUCUUGUUGAGCAGUGGAGUGGAGCAAACAUUAGGGAUUAGAACACAUCUGAACUGAGUCCACCAAUUAAGCAAACAUAUCUAUCUUUUGAAGGUGUGAGUUUUUUCCGUCUGUGAAAUUGGAACAAGAAAGAAAGGAAUUCCAAGUUUGAGAUAAAACAUAUACCACACUUUAAAUGAGUACAUUUUCCACCAGUUUAUUUGAGGUUAAAUAAUUUGAGUAAGUGAUUUCUCUGUUUUCUACAUCAGUUGAAAAUCAUCAGUUUCCUGCAAUGAAUCAGUUUGCUUAAAACUUGAGUCUUUGUAUAAACCUCAAGGCAAGAUACAUGAUUGCUCAUCUGUCAAGUGUACAGUGAAUUACCAUUCCUCAAUAAAUCUUAAAUUGCAAUGAUA